rnacentral:rRNA from 1 species
GAUGAACGCUGGCGGCGUGCCUAAUACACGCAAGUCGAGCGAACAGACGAGGAGCUUGCUCCUCUGACGUUAGCGGCGGACGGGUGAGUAACACGUGGAUAACCUACCUAUAAGACUGGGAUAACUUCGGGAAACCGGAGCUAAUACCGGAUAAUAUAUUGAACCGCAUGGUUCAAUAGUGAAAGACGGUUUUGCUGUCACUUAUAGAUGGAUCCGCGCCGCAUUAGCUAGUUGGUAAGGUAACGGCUUACCAAGGCAACGAUGCGUAGCCGACCUGAGAGGGUGAUCGGCCACACUGGAACUGAGACACGGUCCAGACUCCUACGGGAGGCAGCAGUAGGGAAUCUUCCGCAAUGGGCGAAAGCCUGACGGAGCAACGCCGCGUGAGUGAUGAAGGUCUUCGGAUCGUAAAACUCUGUUAUUAGGGAAGAACAAAUGUGUAAGUAACUAUGCACGCCUUGACGGUACCUAAUCAGAAAGCCACGGCUAACUACGUG